rnacentral:misc_RNA from 1 species
AACCUAGCACACCUGCGGUGUGUACCUGCGGAAGGAUCAUUAACCUUUCAAAUCAGGGUGCGUCGCGGCCCCCGAGGAGCGGAAACAAUCCUGGGGAGGUUUGCGGGGUCUUCGGACCCCCCUAACGCACGCACGACUGCCAUCCUUACUUUACGAGCACCUUCUGUUCUCCCUCGGCGGGGCAACCUGCCGUUGGAACCGAAUAAACUCUUUUUGCAUCUAGCAUUACCUGUUCCGAAA